GACGAACGCUGGCGGCGUGCCUAAUACAUGCAAGUAGGACGCAGUUGCGAACGGGUGAGUAACGCGUAGGUAACUACCCCUAAGAGGGGGAUAACUAUUGGAAACGAUAGCUAAUACCCCAUACUAGUAGAUGGAUCUGCCGUGUAUUAGGUAGUAGGUGGGGUAAUGGCCUACCUAGGCAACGAUACAUAGCCGAACUGGGAGGGUUGUAGGCCAAAAUGGGGCUGGAAAAAGGGCCAGACUCAUGCGGGGGGGAGCAGUAGGGGAGCUUGGGCAAUGGGGGGAACCCUGAACGGGGAAAGCCGGGUGAAGGGAGAAGGUUUUUGGGACGUAAAGCUCUGUUGUUAAGGAAGCGGUACUUAACCAGAAAGGGACGGCUAACUACGUGCCAGCAGCCGCGGUAAUAC
rnacentral:rRNA from 1 species